AUUUCUUUUGAUCUUCCCUUUUUUGUCUUGCACUUUUAAAAUUAUUUUUUGCCUUCUAUAGUUUUAACUGAGCAUUUCAUAUGAUUCCACUUUUUCUUUUAGUGUGUCAAUUAGAUUUCUUUACAGUUUUUAAAUGGUUUCCAUAGAGCUUACAAUUUAAAUUUACAACUAACCUCACUUCACUUUGAAAGGACACUGUUUCUUCAUGGUUAAUGCGGGUCCCUAUGACAGAGUCCUCCCGAUUCCUCCCUCCCAUCCCGUGUAAAAUGGCGCCACUUGUUCAUAAACUAUUAUCACCAAGUGUAUUUUACAAUGAUUAUUUUGAACAAGAUGAACCUGUUAGAUCAGUUUAGAAUAAGAAAAACUGAACACUGUUUUAUUUUUCCUUUGAUUAUUCCUUCUCUAAGUUCCCUACAUCCAUUAGCUGAGUUUUCCUGUGGGUGGGGAAAACCCAGCCCUGAUCCCAUUUCAGGAAGAGAUGGGAAACCCCUUCUUAGACAGUUUGGCUGAGCUUUUGCUUUUUAACAUCAUUCUGGAAGCGUGUUCUAAUGGCGGAACAACUGCUGCUGCCAAGAGCAUCUCCGGGAGCGCUGCCCAGAAGGUGUCCCAGGGAGGGAUGGGUCUCUGCUGGACACGGGUCCCCUGCCCCCUCCGCCCCAGCCUGCCCCCUCCACCGCUGCCUAGAAGCCCCAAGGUGAGGAGACAGACCUGAACCCUCUAACCGGGCACCUGCUGUCUGAAGAUCGGAGUCCAACUCCGAGUCCGAACCCUCCUCGGCCCCCGGGACCCCUGCAGGAAGCCCAGGGGCCGCCGCCUCCUCCUCCUGCUCUUCACUCUCCUCCGACCUCUCGCAGCUUCUCGUGUGCGGCUUCCUCCACCAGGAACAUCCCUCCCCAGCUUCGCUUGUUGAACUUCAGAUUCUGCAGUGUCAGCUCAGAGGGCCCUUCUUCCUGAAGCUUUCCUUGGCCCCUCCUGGGCUCUGCCACCACCAUGGCACCCUCUCAAAUUACCUAUAACCCUGUCAUCCCCUCACCCCCAAGGAAGUGAGGUCAAAGGACAGGGGAGAGGGGCUGCUCCUGUCGGUGCCCCAGGGCCCCGCAGAUGGAGUGUGGGGAGGAAGGGAGGCCCAGGGCAGCUGGGGUUUGGGACUGAGCCCAGGGCUGGGGUGGGGCUGGAUCCUGCCCCGAGUGUCCCUUUAACAGCUGGCCUGGCCUGGCCUGGCCUCGGCCCCUGCUUUGCCUCCUGUUCAGCUGGGGCUGCAGCUGCUGUGCUGACUCCUGCUCCCAGCAGCCAGCAGGAGCUGAGAGCAGGGGCUCCCCAGGGGCCUGGACAGGCUGGGGCUUCUGGAUUACAAAACUGAGAAGUGGGCCCUUCCCACCAGAGAAGGCUACCAGGAGCCGACCAUGGACCCCCAGGUUUCCGUCAUCACCAAACUCAAAGGGGUUUCCAUGACCCAGAAAAGGAGCUGGGGAACCGGUGGUGGGACAUGGUGACUUUGUGAAGCUGCCACAGCUCAACCCGAAUUCUCCAUGAGCCUCAUGCUUCCAGGCACUGAGGAUCCAGAGCUAAAUUGGGCCGGGCGCCCGCCCAGGCUAGUGGGGAGGUGGACCCCUCAUUGCAUGCAUGGCUGGGGGCCAGCGGAGCAGGUGGUGAGCUCUGCCUAGGAAAAAGCAUGGGCUGUGGGGAAGGGUGGCUGGCACCAUGUGCUACCCAUGACAGUUCUGCAUGUGUCGGGGAUGCACACCCAGGAAGGGAGGGGAGGGCUGGGCAGCGGUCAGGAUCUGCAGGGACUAGGUGGCCGCCAUCAUGGAAAAGGAGCCUCCAAGGGUGGCAAGCAAAGGCUGGCAGGCUCUGAUGGUGUUACCUGUGAAAGCUCAGCCUGGCUGCUACGUGAAGUGCACCGGGGGUCCACAAGAAGACCACAGGGACAGCAGAGCCAUGUCUGUGCCAGUGCCUGACACUUGAGGGUGCUUCCUCUCCCAGGUCUGGGACUCCCAGAGAGCUUGUCCCCAUCCCCUCCUGGCUGAUGCCCAGAACUCUGUGACCUUGUGCAGGCACUAAUGUCCCUGUUUACAGCAGAACAAGUCAGGAAGGGACUGGCCUGUGGUUCCUUGGCCAGUGUGUGGGGUCCAUGUCCCUAGAGACCACUCUGAGGAGGGUCCCGCCCCUUGUGUGCCACGCCCAGCAUGUCCACCCUGGCAUGACUCACCCUCCCAGAGUCCCUCCACGGUCCCUAUUCUGUCAUCUGAAUUGGACCAGAGGAGCUGGGCCUCGAGGAGUCACUUCUGCCCCUCCCCCGGAGA
ensembl:lncRNA